rnacentral:tRNA from 1 species
AAAGGGAGACCUAAUUCAGGUAAAAGACGAAAAAAAAGUAGUCGCUACCAAGAAUCAAUCCCAAAAGGUCGGAGCGAGGCGAAAUUGGCUUUCAAACUAGGUUCUGGGUUCAAACAAGACCUGAAUCAGGAACAAGGGCUAUUAGCUCAGGUGGUUAGAGCGCACCCCUGAUAAGGGUGAGGUCCCUGGUUCGAGUCCAGGAUGGCCCACCUGCACAGGUGGCAAAAACAAGAGAAGCGAGGAAUCAGCACCUUAUCUUACUUAUAUAGUAAGAGAGAAUGCUGGCUCUGAGUAAAGAGUCCAGAGGAACCUUGAAGACUGCAUAGAGCUAGGUGAAAAAGCCAAAAAAGAAGACCGCAAG